rnacentral:RNase_P_RNA from 1 species
CAAGUAAGACAAGUAAUCGCAGCUGCAAGCGCCGAAAGGCCGCAGGUGAGGAAAGUCCGGGCUUCACAGGGCAGGAUGCCGGAUAACGUCCGGUGGAGGCGACUCCAAGGCCAGUGCAACAGAAAUAUACCGCCUGAGGGGACAGUUUGUUCCCGGCAGGUAAGGGUGGAAGGGCAGUGUAAGAGACUACCGCCUUGCUGGUAACAGCAGGGGCACAUGUAAACCCCAUCCGAAGCAAGACCGGAUAAAGACGAUGUGGCGGCCCGUCACGUCUUAGGUAGGUCGCUGGAACCUUCCGGCAACGGGAGGUCUAGAUAGAUGAUUACUCAACGACAUAACCCGGCUUAUCGUCUUGCUUGCCUU